UACGUAGGGGGCAAGCGUUUGUCCGGAUUUAUUGGGCGUAAAGAGCGUGUAGGCGGCCAGGUAGGUCUGCUGUGAAAACUCGAGGCUUAACCUCGAGCUGUCGGCGGAAACCAUCUGGCUAGAGUCCGGAAGAGGAGAAUGGAAUUCCCGGUGUAGCGGUGAAAUGCGCAGAUAAUCGGGGAAGAACACCCGUGGCGAAGGCGGUUCUCUGGGACGGUACUGACGCUGAGACGCGAAAGCGUGGGGAGCGAACAGG
rnacentral:rRNA from 1 species